rnacentral:rRNA from 1 species
AUGGAGGAGGCGGACUUCGUCGCCGUCUUCGCCGAACCGACCACACACAGGUACUAUUCCAAGGACAUGGAGGCCUCGAGGAUCUCGAUGGAGAUCCUGGACGACAGCGGCGAGCACACCGUCUUUGAUAACCACACGGUCACCUCCAGGCAGAACGGCAAACUAAACACGGGCUACGUCUGGUUCGUCAAGCGGAGGGAGCUAGAGGCGUCAGGCUGCAUCCGCGGUGACACCUGCACCAUCCGGUGCACGGUGUCCGCCGAAGUGCAGGCCACCAGGUCGUCGGCCGAGGUCAUGGAGGCCUUGACCGCGGCCGCUUCUGAUCCCUUCAAGGCGCGGCUCAGUGGGUCCCACGUCCUGACGAUUGGCCAUUUCUCAAAGAUCAAGGAGGUGCUCCGGACCGGGGACUGCGUUCACUCCACCCAGUUUCGCCUCGGCGGCAGCAACUGGUACUUCAAGGUCUACCCGAAUGGCAGCGGUCGGUAUGUGGACAGGACCAGCUGCGGCAUGUCCGUCUUCCUCGGACGCGGGAGGUCCGACGAGCCAGCGACCACCGCUGAGUUCAGCUUUGAGAUCGGCGAUCAAAAGGAGGUGAGAUCCACGAAGCACACGUUCCGCCAUCACGAACCCGAGCACAAGUUCCCGUACUUCCAGUACUUUGCCGGAAAGACGAUUGACGAUGACCGACUUGUCGUUCGCUGCCACGUUCGCGUGAUCAAGGCCGAGACCCCGAAUUAG